AUAAUUCAUCCUUUUGACCUCUGUGUUUAGGAUGACGUAGGGUUAAACUGUCAACCCUGAUUAGAUCAUCCGAAUCGUGCUCAACUCAAACAGUCCUGUGACUCCUCACAAAGACUAUCCUAGCCAAGGUUUUGCUAAAUUGAAACACGACUGUACACAGCUCCUAAACUGGAGUGGUCAAUCCCAUCUUGACACACACACCGACAAGUCAAGUACUUGACUACACCCAGCAGCCUUCCAUCACUGAAUUAGA
rnacentral:lncRNA from 1 species